GAUGGCAUAGCUCAGUGGCAGAGUGUGUGCAUAGCAUGCACGAGGUCCUGGGUUCAAACUCCAGUACCGCCA
rnacentral:tRNA from 1 species